UAUUCCCACGGUAGAUUCUGUAUCGUGGGCCCAGGAAAAGCCAUUACCAGGAGACAUGCUGAAUAACUGAAACAGAAAGAUCCAAAACAGCUAGGAGUGGAUCUAAGUACUUCCAGAACUCUGAGUGGAAGAGUAUGUUUGGCUCCAAUGAAUCAGAUUCCUCCUCCAAUAGUUUGUCUCCAAAAGCCCGGACCCUACAGAAAACUGCCGAGAGUCUGGAGAGGAAGCUAAACACUUCACAGACCCUGAGUCAGGCAUCAUCUUCAUCAUAUGGAAGCUUUGUAACGAUGUCACAGAGUCAAGUGUCAUCUGAGGGGUCAGUCAGAUCUCUGACAGAGAAAAGCACAGACAAAAACCCCA